CAAAAUUGAGAGGAUGGUACAGACACCUACUAUAUACCCCUUGAUCUUACACAUCUAUGGCCUCCAGAAUUAUUAGUGUAACCAGAGUGGCUUCUUUCACUUAAUAAAUCUGAGAAGUGAUAGGACUCCCCCAGGAGCCCAAGGUGACAGAGAGCCUGAGCUUGGAUUCACAAUGCUUUUUGUUAAUCAGACCCUGAAUAUCAGCCUCCAUCACAGCCAGCUAUCAGGAAUCCCUGGAGUGUCUUGGUACCUUUGCUCCUGGUAGAGUUGAAGUAACUUGCACAAAUCCUCUAGAAAGGGAAAUCAAGAGAACUUGGUUUUGAACUCUGGCUUAUGAGUGCAGACACAAUGUUCCUUUCUCAGUUUUUAUCACCCUGUGGUCACUGAGACAAAGGGGCAGGGUGAAGAGACAAGGACACCGAGGACAAAGUUUUUCUUGCCAGAAGAUGCAGCAUGGUGUUCAUUCUGUAACAAUAAAUCCUGUGAAAAUG
ensembl:lncRNA